AACGAACGCUGGCGGCAGGCUUAACACAUGCAAGUCGAGCGCCCCGCAAGGGGAGCGGCAGACGGGUGAGUAACGCGUGGGAAUCUACCCAUCACUACGGAACAACUCCGGGAAACUGGAGCUAAUACCGUAUACGUCCUUCGGGAGAAAGAUUUAUCGGUGAUGGAUGAGCCCGCGUUGGAUUAGCUAGUUGGUGGGGUAAUGGCCCACCAAGGCGACGAUCCAUAGCUGGUCUGAGAGGAUGAUCAGCCACACUGAGACUGAGACACGGCCCGGACUCCUACGGGAGGCAGCAGUGGGGAAUAUUGGACAAUGGGCGCAAGCCUGAUCCAGCCAUGCCGCGUGAGUGAUGAAGGCCCUAGGGUUGUAAAGCUCUUUCACCGGUGAAGAUAAUGACGGUAACCGGAGAAGAAGCCCCGGCUAACUUCGUGCCAGCCGCCGCAGUAACAC
rnacentral:rRNA from 1 species